GACGAACCGUGCGACCGUUAUUCGGAAUCACUGGGCUUAAAGCGCGUGUAGGCGGGUGGGCGCGUCGGCCGCUGAAAUCCCCCGGCUCAACCGGGGAAGGGGCGCCGAGACGGCCGGCCUGGAGGGACGUAGGGGGGCUGGAACUUCCGGUGGAGCGGUGAAAUGCGUUGAGAUCGGAAGGAACGCCCGUGGCGAAAGCGAGCCCCUGGACGUCUACUGACGCUGAGACGCGAAAGCCAGGGGAGCGAACGGG
rnacentral:rRNA from 1 species